ensembl:lncRNA
GAAAUUCUCAAAGACCCUGAGCAAUUUGCGAAACACAUAUUUGGUAGCGAAUAUGAAAUAACUCAUUUUUCAUUUGUCUCAGAGGAUGUGGCGUUGGUACAGUGGCGUCAUGCUGACGGCGUUGGAGGGCAGACCUCCAACAUAAAUGUAUUCAUUGGUGCGUUCACCACGGCUCAUGCCCGGCUUGAACUGUAUAAUGUCAUGGAUAGGUUAGGCCAGUGGGUGUUGUACUGUGACACUGACAGUGUGAUUUUUGUUUCAAAAGAUGGUGAUUGGGAACCACCACUAGGGCCGUAUUUAGGGGAUCUCACAGAUGAGCUGGGUGUAGGCGAUCAUAUUGUGGAGUUCUGUUCUGGAGGGCCGAAAACAUACGGAUACCGUACAGCUCUGGGUAAAACUUGUAUGAAAGCUAAGGGCAUCACCCUGAAUGCUGAAAAUUCUAAACUCAUCAGGUUAGACACCCUGAUUGACCUGGUUGAUCAUCACGUGAUCAAUCGCAACAGCACACACCACAUCCUAGCCCAGGCUGACAAUAUUGUGCGCAAUAAGAAGGACCUCACUCUAAAAAAUAAAGUAGAUGUUAAGCGCUUCAGAGUUGUGUACAACAAGCGUGUGUUAUGUCCUGACUACUCAACGCUGCCAUACGGAUACUGAUUGUCUGUGGGGUAUGUUAAAAAUGGCUAUGUUUAAUACUGGUUUGACAGCUGUUAAUAUUUUUGAUUUCAGACUACAACACCCUUUUUCAUGUAUGGUCAGUGGCCCCUCCAACUCGGAAGACCUAUUUUGUAAAAAUGUUAAUAAUGUAUGCUGACCAUGUGAUUUGUAAUAAAAUUAAUAACAUUGUAUAUAUAUAUAACUGUUGGCAGCCUCUUUAUGACGACCUGUUGAAAAUGAGACCCAUUAAUUUCAUACAAGGGAUCCCUAAAGCCCUAGAUGACGAUGUGUUAUUACCGGUGUCCAAAAACAAUUUAUUGGUUAUUGAUGUCAUAAAAGAUGCCAGUAGUAAUGAGCAAGUUGAAAAGGCAUUUACACAAUAUGUACACCAUCGUAAUCUCAGUGUUAUAUAUCUGGUCCAGAAUCAGUUUUUUCAAGGUAAAUCCAGCCGCACUAUCAGUCUAAAUACAAACUAUCUAAUAUUAUUUAAGAAUGUACGUGAUAAUAACCAAGUGGCCAUCUUGGCUAGACAAAUGUAUCCUGGUAAUACAAAAUAUUUUAUGGAGUGUUUUAAAGAUGCUACAGAGAAACCGCAUGGCUACCUCAUGGUUGAUUAUAAAACUAAGACACCAGAGUCAUUCUGACUCAGAACAGAUUUACUUGCAACACAUCCGGUGGUCUACAUCCAGAAAAAGGGUUAAAAUACCACCAUGUCAGGGCUGGUGCGGCGAAACUUGUCGCUUCUGAAAAAACUACUUAAAGCUAAACCGCACCAAAGGCGGAUCAUUUUACAAACAGGAUCAGAUGAGUUAAUCCUGUCUCUAUGCAAAGUAGCAUUGAACAUUCUCCGAGGUACUAUUCCCCUCACAAGCGGUCAAUAUAGAAGAUUGGUCAAAAAGAAGUCAUUGAUCAAGCUUAUAGCUGAUAAGAAAAUUGGUGUGGUGAAGAAAAGACGUACAAUUAACCAACAGGGUGGUUUUAUCCUACCCCUCCUGAGUGUGGCAAUACCAUUCAUAACUAGCCUCAUAGCAUCAAGACGUGGUUAAAAGGGAUGGAGUAUGCUGAGAAAAUGUAUUUGGUUCGACAGCAGCAGCUGGAUAGCUUAAAGCAUAAUGAAACAUCCCCCAAUCUAAGACAGAGUGCCGAAAACUAUUUGGAUACAGCUAUAAAAAAUGUUUUGAGUAGGACUGAUAUGGAGCAGCAUGAAAAAGCUAAACUGUAUACGGCCCUGUUGCAGAGAUAUUUGGCACUGGUUAAACAGGGGGCUCUCGAGACAAACACUUUAAAAUUAAGUUUAGCCCAAGACCAGGCAAACACGGGUCUCGCUACCCCAUUAAUAACCCCAGUUACAAACAGUGGGUUGGAUGAUGACCCCAAGAUUGUAGCCAUUUUAAAAAAUAUACCCUUGAGAUGUAAAAAGAAUGCCAUGCAUAUAUUAGAGAAGAUGCUUGACUCAAGAUACAGCGUGCUGGACUGAGUCUGGUGAGUUUGUUUUCAACAAGAUGAUUGUCCCUGGAACACAUAUAAUUGAUUUGGUAAAAAGUGCCACAGCGCCUCAGAAGAUUAGACAUAGGCCUCGGGGGUGGGUUGAAUUUCUGAGCGCCAUGGGAAUGUUAAAUAUACCCAUGUCCACAGUUCCUAAUAGGGAAGUUCAACAGUUGGUUGAAUCUUUGAAAAGACCUGCAACACCCAGUUAUGUUACCCCUGGUAGAGUUUUAGCAAGAACAGACCUUUUAUCAGAUGCUGUAGAUGUUUUGCGGUGGUUGAAGUUUUAAUUAUGUAUUGAUUAUGUGUAUUUGUGCUGUAUAAUGAAAAUAAAAAACCUUUUGUGAAAUAUAUGUAAAUAGGCCUAUUAUGUGUAUUCUGUGUAUAACAGUAAAUGCAUCAAAUCACCCUGCUAUAUGACAUUUAACCAUGUUUAUGUUCAUUUUUUCAUCAAUAAAAACCCUUAAACCGUUGUUUUUUGUCUUUUUCAUUGUUUUAUUUGGUUAGAAAACUUUGCCCCAUCUUGUACAUGUUGGAUGCAGCAUAGCAUAUUAGAACUACAUUUACAUGGUUGUAGCUUUUUCACAAAUGUUGAAACCAUAUUAUCAUUUCUUAACAAAUCAUGAGAAUAUUUUGACACUACAUCUAUAUAGUUUAGACCGUUCAACAUGUUAUAGAUAAAGAAGACACAAUGCUCGCCACAUGUGAUGGCUGCAUAGUCUUGGACCUGUCUGUUUGAGAAUUGUAUGGUAGAACAGUUAGUUUUAAAAAAUGUGUAGAUGCCUGUGGGGAACAGUGGGGAGUUUGGUUUGUUACCAAAGCUGUCGAAAAAACAGCCGGAGCUGGCAUCGGUUAUGUAUACAGCGAGCCAAUGCUCACCAGCCUGGUCUGAGUUAUGGGUGUUGAUUAUAACCGACACCGGUAGUUGCUGUAAUGGGUUGCGAGGUAGUUGAUCGCAUGCUAAAACCCCAAGGAAAUGGCUGUUUUUGGAAAAUUUCGCCAUAAUCGCCGAUAGUUGUAGUGUAUUCAUGGCCUCAGUAAUAAUCAAUUAGUACCUGUCUACGAUUUGAGACCUCUAUUAUACUGUCAAAUAUGGCAUAAACUAUUACAUUUAUAGUGCUGCGUAGCAGUUGCCUGAAACGGGUUUCUAAUCUGAUGUUACCCGACUUAAUUAAUGAUAGAUGCUGACCACACUCUUCGUCAGGUGAGAGAUUGAAGGCGUAUAGCGUAUAACCGUGUAAAAAAUCUUCACGGUCUAUCAACAUGGCCCUAUUUUUUAAAUGUCUGCCUGUGGCUAAGGCCAACUGGUAAAAUUCUCGCACAGCAGCCCCCUGUAAAUACUGAGGUUGUAAAGGCUUUGCUGGCUGCUGUAACCCAUCCACAUACAGAGCCAGAAAUUCUAAAUCAUAAUUGUUGAAGGCAAAUGGAUUCUUAUCAUAGGCGCCUGUAAACGCAUCAUUUUUAACCAUUGCUAUUAUAAUAGAUUUGGGUAAUGUUCCCAGAAAGAGAUUUUCUUGAUUGGCAACCCUAGUACCAGUGGGUAUUGAGAAAUUCUUUAGACAGACCCGGUCAACCGGGUAUUUAGCUGUUGCAGAGAGUAGGGCAUGCGCGUGUCCAAGUCUUACGGCCGCUGAUACAGAUGCUUUUUUCACAAAUAGUGACGCCGAAACCAUACUAAUUUUAUAGUCCACAUCAUCAGCCCUCAUUAGACAGAACUCAUCCUUUGCCCGGGUCAAUCUGAUUCUGAUAUCCACAUUAUUCAACAUCAGUUUUUCUUGAAAAAAGAUAUCACUGUGUAUGGGGGUUAAUAGUUCUACAACUCUACUGUUUGCUGUGAAUGUGGCUCUCUUCCGCAGGCCAGUGUUAGCUCCUAGGGGGUCUGCUAUGUCCAUACGACCGGCUAUGUCUUUGUAAAACAAACCCGCCGAGAAUAGCGAUUCCAGAGUCUGCCUGUCAUAAUUCAUGAGACAUUCUAUGAUGCAGCGAUAUGGAUAGGUAUUUGACCCCUGUGAGAUCAGUCGAUCACCCAAUGAGACGUCAACCUGUGAGAAUAUUGUUGAGCCUGGAUAAUUCACUAACCCCACCUUGGCGGCAGCAUCAAUAUUCGAGCCAUCCGGUUUUGUGAUUUUGAUCCUUGUAUACAAAAGUGUGUUAUUCAAAUCUAUAUAGUCAUCACCAUUCCCGGCAAUGAAAAAUUCCAGGGGCGAUGUAUCCGACAAAGCUGUUAUAGGUGAUAUCUCAACAUAAGUCGAUUUUUCAAUCGUUGUUUGGGUCAUAGGUACUGUAAAAAGAUCGAGCUCCGACUUCACGCAUUCCUCAGACAAUCCGUGUAUUAGAGCCAUAAUCAGAAUAUAUUUUUAAACUUCUUUUUCACACUAGCGCCUCUACGUUGUGCAUCAGGCGUCUUCCGUUUAGUCACUGAGCGUUUCUUAGGUUUGCCCCUAUUUUUUAUUGCUGUCGAGACACGCCGCACCCCUGGAGGUCUUUUCGACCUGGUACGACUCAUCACAAGCAUGCCUGAACCAGCCUGGGCUUGGUCUCCACGAUGAUUCACAACCCUAGAUAUGACAUCACCGACAAUAUUUUUAGCAGCAGCUUUUAGAUGUGGUUUAGCAAUCCCGAUUCCUUUCCUCAAUAGAGGUAUAGCCAUGCGAAAAAGCCCCCUGAAUAACCCUCCAAGACCAGCCCCAUACAUAGUGGUACCCCCAGUAAACCCUGGCAUAAAGCCACCAGCC